rnacentral:lncRNA from 1 species
GAUAAAAUAAUAAAGCAAGAUGAGAUAUUUAUCUUCUUGGAAGUAAUAGAGAAGAAGCCAAAAUAAUGAGAGAAAACAAUUUCUAUAUUGUUUAGUGAAAAUAACCAAAUCAAAUGUGGAAAAUGAUCUAUGAAAGUUAAUAUGAACAUAAUUCUACUCAUGAGAUUUUAAGGAUGAAACUCAAAUUUAACCAUUGAUAUGAGGUUUUUUAUGUCAUCAACUAGCUUUUUGAAAUAAAAACAACUUCAUAAGUUCAUUCUGGGGUUAAAUAAUGAAAUUCAAUACAUUUAUAUGCAUGUAUAAUAUAUAAUUUAUUACCAUAUUGUACAUGGAUAUUAGGUAUACAUUAAUUUGAAUAUUCCAUGAAUAAUACAUGAGAUAUUUUGUGUUGAACAGAGUGUGAUGCACCAGUUACCAAUCCUGGAGGAAGGCUCUAAAUGCUUUUGCACUUGCAACUUAUUACUGGUGUCACCAAGGAAAACAAUGCAAUCAAAAACUAGAUGGAACCGUGCUUUGCUUACGUGGGGAAAAGCAGAGCAAGAUAAGUUUUAGUAGCUGGAUUCCAUGCACCAUGGCCAGAGGGUCAUUCCUAGCAUCUGCCUGUACACAGCAGUUUGUCUCGUGCUGGAGUGGAAGAACCCAGUUUACUCCUUGUGGAGGACAGAUAUAAAACUGGGUUUCCCCUAUGCCAUGUGACACUCUCUUCAAGCAGAGACAAAAGAGUACUCAUUGAGCCUGAAACAGAGAAAGGUAAUUCCAUGCAAGGUGAUAAGCAUGGCACAGGCUGUAUGGGCUCUUUAUCUAUUAGUUACGAAGUGUUGCAAACAUACCCAAUACCCAAUCUUACAUGGCCAGGCAUGACCCAAGAGACUAAGUGCAGGGGACUGCCUUUCCCAACAUUUAGUACAUAAAAUAAUAGUAAUAAUAAUAAUAAAGAAUAGGACCCCAAGAUUGAAAUAACUAGACAAUAAAUGGGCAUUUAGAUGUGUGUGAGUUGGAUGAGGCAAAGGGGAUACAGUAGGGCUGAUCAUAACAAAAUAGAUACUACUGAGGUUAUCAACUAGUGAGGUUAAAAAAAUAUCGUCUGUAAUUUAGGAGGCAUGCUCUCCACUCUCCUUGGAUAUUAUCUUCCUCAUUCACCCUCUGCCAUUAUAAUCAUUGUGUGUUUCUUUUUCUCCUGCUUUUCUGUAUGACUUUACCAUGUAUGAAAAUUAAUAUGAAUAGAAUUAUAUUUUCUGCAUUCGUCCAUGAUUCCUUCCUUUCAAAAUUAUUAUGGAUAUUUGUUCAUGUUGAUGCAUACAGAAUUAUUUAAUUUCUGUCACGGCUGUGUAUCAGUAUACUGAAAAUACAUCUUACGUAUCUAUCUCAUCAUUCAUGGACAAUUUAUUUGUCAUCAUUUUAAAAUAAAAAGUUUAGACAAAGCUUUUUGUUUCUUUUUUUUAAUAUUUAUCUCCUGGUGCUCAUGUUCAGGAGUUUCUUUGAAAAAUAAAUCUAGAAAUGGAAUUGCUUUGUUGUAGGCCUAUGAAAGUUCACAUUUGUUAAGUAAUGCAAAAUCUUUCCAAAGCUGUUGUUUAAAUUUACACUUUGGCCAGCAGGAGAAGAGACUGUCAGCGUCUCAGUAUCCUGGCACACACUCAAUAUUAACUAACUGUGACAUUUUUGCCAAGCUGGUAAUCAUGAAAUGAUAUGCCAUUAAGUUUUAAUGUGCACUUUCUUAAUUGCUCUUUAUAUGUUUAUGAGGUAUUUGGAUUUUUUUAAUUAAAUAACAAAAAAUUUUAAAAAUUCUUUUGUUUACCAUUUUAUUUUAGAUCCAUUCUUGAAUCAACUCAAACUAUUAAGAGUUAUUCAGGUAUCAUUCUCUAGUCUUCUCAUAGAUUUUCUUUCCCUAAAUUGCAUUCUUGUGGAAUACUCUCAAUCUGUCUUGAGUAGAAGUAUGAGAAAAUUCAUAUAUACUGUAUCAUUGUAUUUAUUGUGGAGAUAAAUAUAGACCCAAGGAUGUCAUCUAGAAUAUAAAGAUAAGGAUGGAUUGCAUACGUUCUGGCAAUUCUCUAUUUAUGUUAUUUAUUUAUUUAUAUUUUUGCCUCUGGGCAAAAUCAAAAAUCAUAUUCCAGCAGCUGAGAGAUUAUAUUCUUUUAUAAGGACCAGGAUUGCCAUCACUCUGUGUUGUUGUUGAUUCAAAGUGUAAUCAUGUGCAAUUGAAAACUAGUUCAACUACAUUUUUUUCUUUGAUCUUUUAAUUUUCCUAGAAGUCAACCUCUGAAGCAUUGUGAUCAGCAUAGCUUACUUGGUGAAAUCAAAUUUUGAUAUUCCUAGAGCAAAUAAAUUUAUAGAACUAUUGCUGUGUUAAAUACAAAAUCAUUUUAUGUUGUGGUUAUAAGUUCAAUCAAUUUUGAAGUAAUCUCUGGAGCACAGAUUCAUUCCUUGAGAGUGUCUUAUCUAUUACUACUUCUAAAUCAUUUUAGUUUUCUUUUAACCUUCCUUUACGCUUGCAAUCUACAGACUCUAGGAAAUGAGAUUCAUUUUUUUCUUUUUGACAUACUAUACAUGUAGGUGUACCAGAGUCAUAUCAUUAUAUCUAGAAUGACCAAUUGCUUUUUUCUGAGUACAGCGAUUCAAGAUAUGGCAAUUUGAGGGACUAAGGAAAGUAAUGAAUUUUUCACAUGCUCAUAUUUUGUUUUCUUAUGUGAAAAUGUGUAAAACAGAUCUAUUCCAACUUCAUACCUUAUCCCAUAGAACAGAGCCACCAAAAGUUGCUCUGAAAAUAUACUAAGUUACCUUAAAACUGAUUGGUCAUGAUUGUUACAAAUGCUAAUAGGGCAACCCUAGAGCAACACAUAGAUAGUUAAAAUUAUGUACAUAUAAAUAAAUAUACACCAGGUGUCAGAGAGAAGAACAAAAUGUGGUCUAUUGUUCAGUAAAGAAGAAACUACAACUCACUGAUUCAUAAUUUAGAGUUCUGUUUAUAGUUAAAAUUGCCGGCUCAUUGAAUACCAUUCUAUGUUAAGGAUUUUAUUAACAAUUGUCUUUUUAAAGAAUGACUGAGGUUGUCUGUUACUAAUAAAUGUAAUGUGCUCUAACAGAUUUUGUACUCUUAAAUUCAACGCCAGCAUUUUUUAUUGAGGUACUUUAAUAGCCACAAUUGAAGAGAUUUCCACAUAGCGCUUAUGUUUUAUGGCUGACAAAAAUAUAAGCAUGACUUUAGUUAAUAAAGGUAAUAUAAAUUUUUCUCUGUAAAUUCUAACUUGAUAUGAAUGUUUGCUAUUUAAGAUUAUAAAGUAUAAAUUGGUUCAUUCAUCAGUUGGUAACAUUUGCCACAGUGCCUAUGAAAAUAGAAUAAAGAGCUAAUUCCUUGUGAUGGCAUUUGAAGCCCUUCAUAUCAAGUCAUUCACUUCCACCAACCAUUUUAUUCAACAUCCUAAAGGCCUUUAUUUUUCUUCUGUACCCUAGCCACAGAGGAUCAAUUCUUGAUCUCCAAAGAGUGUCUGCAUUCUCUCAUUCCCAUGCCUUUGUUCAAUCCAGUCUAAUUUAACAACAGUCAAAACAAUUGAACUCCUAUUUUGUGUUAGGUUAUAAAGGAAGAAAAUCCAGGCCACCCAGUAGCUAGGGUUCAGAGGAGAAGCAGACAAGCAGACAACUGCAAUUGUCAUUUGAGCUAAGAAGUGUGCUUAAGGGUAAUAUAAACAAGGCAAAUUUAUAUGAGAAAAAGGACUAUUCUAGUAACAUCUAUAUAAGACUAAUGGAUCAGCAGUUUUAAUCUUACCUUAGUAAGGGUUUCCUAGCAUUUUUUUUUUUUUUUUUUUUUUUUGGGCCAUACCCAUGGCAUAUGGAAGUUCCCAGGAUAGGGGUCGAAUGGGAGCUAUAGCUGCCGUCCUGUGCCACAGCCACAGCAACACAGGACCCAAGCCCAGCCUGCAACCUUCACUGCAGCUCACCACAACAAUGGAUCCUUAACCCACUGAGUGGGGCCAGGGUUUGAACAUGCGUCCUCCUGGAUUCUAGUAGGGUUUGUUACUGCUGAGCCAUGAUGGGAACUCUGCAUUUGCAAUUUUAUUCAAGCUGGUUUUUGAAAAAUGAGUACAAAUCAAGGACAUACAUAAAUGAGCAGAAGUUCAUUACAAACAGAAGUCAAAGCCUAUGCUAGAUAUGGUGUCUCUGGAAAACCACAGUAGUUUGGUAUGUCUGGGGUAAGUGAGGCAGGGGAGGAAGAGCUGAAGCAGGAGAUGGGGCUGGAGAGAGAUAGACCGAGUCCAGUGGGUGAUAAAUCUUUCCAUACCAUACCAAAAUGUUUUCCUGUACUUUGAAACAUUGAGAAGGAUGACUUGAUGUUAUCCAUCUCCUUGAAAAAUCACUCUCACAGCAAUGUGAAGGACGGCUUUGAUGGGAUUCAGAAUAAAGACCUUGGUGAUGUAGAAACAGAGUAUUGGAUGGAUUUUCCCAUUCACUCCUCCGUGCCUGGAAUCCUCUCAGUUUAGUAUGUUGGAGUCUUAGGUACCUUUCAAGGUCUGCCUCAAAUUUUCCCUCUUAAUGAAGUCUUUUUAGAUCUUUUGUCCAUCAAAGUAUUCUCUCUCUCUCUCAGAAUGUUUUAUUCUAUGUAGAUAACAAUAUUUUAAAAUAUAAAUAUCCCAAUUUUUGUUUUAUAAUCCAUAUAUAAUUUAAAGAACAUCACAGUCUUAAGUCAGGGAGCCUAAUUCCUCUAGCUCCUUUUUUCUUUCUCAGGAUUAUUUUGGCUCUUCAAGGUCUUUUUGUGUUUCCAUACACAUUUAAAAAUGUUUUGUUCUAGUUCUUUGGAAAAUGCCAUUGGUAAUUUGACAGAAAUGUCAUUGAAUCUGUAGAUUGCCUUGAGUAGUAGAGUCAUUUUCACAGCAUUGAUUCUUCUAAUCCAAGAACAUGGUAUAUCUUUCUACCCAUUUGUAUCAUCUUUGAUUUCUUUCAACAGUCAUAGUUUUCAAAAUACAGGUCUUUUGCCUCCUUAGGUAGGUUUAUUCUUAGGUAUUUUAUUCUUUUUGAUGCAAUAGUGAAAGGGAUUGUUUCCUUAAUUUGUCUUUUUGGUCUUUUGUUGUUGGUGUGUAGAAAUGUGAGAGAUUUCUGUAUAUUAAUUUCAUAUCCUACAACUCUGAUAAGCUCUAGUAGACUUCUAAUAGCAUAUUUAGGAUUUUCUGUUUAUAGUGUCAGUAUCAUGUCACCUACAAACAGAAACAGUUUUUCAUUUUCUUUUCCAGUUUGGAUUCUUCUUAUUUCUUUUUCUUCUCUGAUUGCCAUGGUGAGGAUUUCCAAAACUAUAUUGAAUAAAAGUGGUGAGAGUGGACAUCCUUGUCUUGUUCCUGAUCUUAGCAGGAAUCAUUUCAACUUUUCACCAUUGAGAAUGAUGUUAGCUGUGGGUUUGUUAUAUAUAUAGCCUUUAUUUAUAUCGAGGUAGGUUCCCUCUAUGCCCACUUUCUGGAGGGAUUUUAUCAUAGAUGGGCAUUGGAUUUUGUCCAAAGAUUUUCCCACAUCUAUUGAUCAUAAGGUUUUUAUUAUUCAGUUUGUAAAUGUGGUGUAUCAUAUGGAUAGAGUUGAGGAUAUUAAAAAAUCCUUGCAUCUCUGGAUAAAUCCCUCUUGAUCAUGGUGUACGAUCCCUUUAAUGUAUUAUUGGUUUCAAUGUUUUUUAAAAACAUAUAUGUUAGUACUAAUUGGAGUAGAUAUUUUGGUUGACAACAUCAAAAGCCUUAAAAGAUCAAGACUUUUAAAAUUAGGUAUGUCUUUAAUUCAUAAAUUAUAUAUCCAGGAAUAAGAAGGUAAUAAUGAAAAGGCAGACACUUAAAUUAUGAUAUAUGAUAUAAUAGAGUAUUAAAAACUCUACUUAAAAACAUGUAUAAAUAAUCUAUACAACAUUAAAUGAAAUAAACAGUGAGAGAUAGAAAGAAAAUAGAUAGAUAGAUAGAUAUCCCAAUUUAUAUGCAUUAUCUUAGCAUCUAUUUUAUUUCAAAGACUGGAAGAAAGAAAAUACCAGAAGGUUAAUAGUAAUUAUGAGGUUAUGCUUUGAGGUUUUGAGGGCUUAUGAGGCUAUGUUUUGGGGUUUUUUUUUUUUUGUUUUCACUUUCCACAUUAUCCAAAUUUUCUGUAAGGACAUAUAUUUUUUAUUGAUGUAUGAUAUAUGUGAAAGUAUACAAACCCUUAAUGUACAACUCAGUGACUUUUGCACAGUAAACACACCUUUUGCGUGUUCAAUCAAUAGGACUUUAUUAGCUCCCCAGAAGUGCCUCUCAUCUCCCACCCUAGUUACUAAUUCCCCCUAAACAUAACCACUAUCCUAAUAUCUAUCACUAUAAAUUAGUUUUGCUGUUUUUGCAUUCCGAAGAAAUAGAAUC